rnacentral:tRNA from 1 species
GGGGGUGUAGCUCAGUGGUAGAGCACAGGCUUAGCACGCACCAGGUUCUGGGUUCAACCCCCAGUACCUCCA